rnacentral:rRNA from 1 species
GAUGAACGCUGGCGGCGUGCCUAACACAUGCAAGUCGAACGAAGCAACUGUGAUUGAGACUUCGGUGGAUUGAUCAGUUGACUUAGUGGCGGACGGGUGAGUAACGCGUGGGUAACCUGCCCAGUACAGGGGGGACAACAGUUGGAAACGACUGCUAAUACCGCAUAAGCCUGUAAUGUCGCAUGACAUAUCAGGAAAAACUCCGGUGGUACUGGAUGGGCCCGCGUCUGAUUAGCUAGUUGGAGGGGUAACGGCCCACCAAGGCGACGAUCAGUAGCCGGCUUGAGAGAGUGACCGGCCACAUUGGGACUGAGACACGGCCCAAACUCCUACGGGAGGCAGCAGUGGGGAAUAUUGCACAAUGGGGGAAACCCUGAUGCAGCAACGCCGCGUGAGUGAAGAAGUAUUUCGGUAUGUAAAGCUCUAUCAGC